rnacentral:rRNA from 1 species
UACAGAGGGUGCAAGCGUUGUUCGGAAUUAUUGGGCGUAAAGGGUGCGUAGGCGGCGCGGUAAGUCGGGUGUGAAAUUUCGAGGCUUAACUUCGAAACUGCAUUCGAUACUGCCGUGCUUGAGGACUGGAGAGGAGACUGGAAUUUACGGUGUAGCGGUGAAAUGCGUAGAUAUCGUAAGGAAGACCAGUGGCGAAGGCGGGUCUCUGGACAGUUCCUGACGCUGAGGCACGAAGGCCAGGGGAGCAAACGGG